CGGCAUUACGCGACGGCAGUGCAACAUCCCGUACUGUGAAAGUGUUGUUUUCACGAUGGUCUGGAAACUCAAGCGAGCUUGCACUUUUGUGUAUGCGUGUUCGGCCAGCACCUAGUUCGGCACAUUCGGAAAUGCGAACGAUGGUGCUCAAGAUGGCACGUGCAACGCUAUGCAGCUGUGGACACCAGCAGCUUGAUAAGAACUCUUGAAGCCCAUCUGGAUGCUUCACAGAACCUGGGAAGACUGAACACUUUUGGCAAAGCAGCAACAGUUCUGGCGCACCUGUUUGUCUACAAGACGGUCUCUUCUGCGAACGCUCCUGUGCCUUACAGCAUACUGUACUGAUGAUCUUGUACAUCUCUCUGCAUUUCGGAUUGUCAGCACUUGUACUGCUGCACUGUGUUAUGCACGGUGCUGAGUCCAAACUUUCCAAUAACAGUGUGUAUUUGAAAAUUUUGCAUGGGUUGAAAAGAUGCUGAAUGUAAACUCAUUUAAU
rnacentral:lncRNA from 1 species